UGUGAAAGUGCUUUGAAAGAAUGAAAAGCUCAUAAGAACAAGGGAAUGGUUUUUAUUAUUGUUAUUACUAGGGAGGAAGUAUUGAGUAUCAUUUAUGGCAUAAUCACCUGUUUAUCAUGCUAAUACAAAUUUUAAACGUGUCACGGUGACUUCGUUUUAAUUUAACUAUUAUUUUAAAAGCUCAAAGCAAUUUUGUUUAGUCUAUUUUUAUAUCCCUGUGAUAAAGAAUAGGUGACUCUGUACAAAAAUGUAUUGCACAUAAAGUACAUAGUAAAAAUCGAGUCUUUUGUUCAUGGCCAAUCACCUCUAAUAGCCAACUGCAGCCUAAGUCUUCUCUUCAGCUGUUAGGGCUCAUAAUACUAACUUCCACUCCAUAAAGCUGUUUAUUCAUACCAAUUAGUGACAUGAAUUACUCAGUGAAGCUCACAAAGGAAAUUGGCCAAGAAUCCCUUAACUCCCUCUUAUGCACCAUUAAUUAUGCCCUUAUUACUAUUAUUAUUUAUUUAGCAUUCCUCUAAUACUGUUAUCAAACUGCUUUAAAUU
rnacentral:lncRNA from 1 species